rnacentral:rRNA from 1 species
ACGGGUGAGUAAUAUAUCGGAACGUGCCCAGUAGUGGGGGAUAGCCCGGCGAAAGCCGGAUUAAUACCGCAUACGACCUACGGGUGAAAGCGGGGGAUCGCAAGACCUCGCGCUAUUGGAGCGGCCGAUAUCAGAUUAGCUUGUUGGUGGGGUAAAAGCCUACCAAGGCGACGAUCUGUAGCUGGUCUGAGAGGACGACCAGCCACACUGGGACUGAGACACGGCCCAGACUCCUACGGGAGGCAGCAGUGGGGAAUUUUGGACAAUGGGCGCAAGCCUGAUCCAGCCAUGCCGCGUGCGGGAAGAAGGCCUUCGGGUUGUAAACCGCUUUUGUCAGGGAAGAAACGGUCUGAACUAAUACUUUGGACUAAUGACGGUACCUGAAGAAUAAGCACCGGCUAACUACGUGCCAGCAGCCGCGGUAAUACGUAGGGUGCAAGCGUUAAUCGGAAUUACUGGGCGUAAAGCGUGCGCAGGCGGCUUUGCAAGACAGAUGUGAAAUCCCCGGGCUCAACCUGGGAACUGCAUUUGUGACUGCAUGGCUAGAGUACGGUAGAGGGGGAUGGAAUUCCGCGUGUAGCAGUGA